AAGCCAUGAUGUGGACAUUGAGUCCAAUAGCCUUUGAGUCUCUCCCAUGCUUCACCAAAACCUUCAAGAUUCUUCUGCUGAAACCCAGAGAUUUCAUUUCUGAUCUU